AGUUCAAUAAUCAGAGUCAAAAAACGCAGAGCAUACCUAGCUGUUAGUUUGCUUCCCAUAGUGGGUGGUUCUAAAGCCGUGUGUGAGGUAUGUAGGCAGUGAGUAAGUUGUUCGUGGCUGCUGGAGGGAAUCUGCAAGUGAACGCUGCCUUGCGCAAGGCAGGAAAUGAUGGAGCUACUGGAGUGUUUGCCGGGGGCGGUGUGCUGGCAUGGAUGAAGCGGGGAAGGUGGCCAUGCUGUUCGUGUCUCCUCCUUCGACUGCGUGUGUUUGUGAAUAGAGCUUGGAGCGAGAGGUGGUGGCCGGAGCUGCAGAGAUGAUGUCGGCGUCACAGAAACAAUGCCGGAGACGAAAAAGAGUCACGUGGGUGACGACGUGUUGGGUUUGCAGGAGUGUGAGAUUGGCCAGAGUCGGGUGGUGAUGUCGGAUGCUCACGGCUGGGGGGGUGACGAGAACGAAGCGUGGAGCUGGAGGUUUUCUGCGACGCUUGCAGGCGGUGGUAGAGCUCGAGACGACGAGGGUGGUUGACGGCGUUAAGGGACGAGGCUCGGCUGGGGCUGUGUGCGAAAGAGAGAGUGGUGAAGGGGAGCUACUAGUCGUGGGGCAGUGAGAUGAAGAUAGAGUUGUGGUAGGCUGCGAGGGAGGCUGGUUUGGAGGUGCGGUGAUGGUGGCUCUGGCUCGGGGAGAUGGAGAUUAUGGGAGUUGUAGCUAAGAGUUCGUGAGGGUGAAGGUAGUUGGGAGCUGGUGGACCGCGAAUUUGGAGCAGGACACUGCUGAGGAGGUGGAGAUGGUGACAGUAGAGGCUCUCUGCGGCAGUGUGGGGUUGUUGGUUUCGAGAGGGAGACAGAGGCUCUGCGGGUGAUGCUUGUGAACCGAGAGUGAAGAGAGGUUGUGCAAGGAUCACCAUAGACUUUCGAGGAUCCGCGAGUGGGCGAAUUGUGAGCCGGCGAAGGUACGGUGAGGUGAGGAUCUAUCACAGACUCAUGAGGAUCAGGAUAAUGGCGGUGACGCAGCCGUCGCACUUGAUGCAUCUCCGCCGGCGCCAGGUUUCAUGAUGCACGGCCACGGCGGGGGAUCCUCUUCGUCUAUGACGGCUGGGCGGUUGGUCACGGCCUCGGGUGAGAGAGUGGAAGAAGGCUUGUUGGAGAUGGCGCUCGAAGUUGCAGGGGGUGGCCGGAGUAUUGGAGGCCAUGAGGUGCUGGGCUGGUCGUGGGAAAAUCGAGAGAGAUGGGAGAGAGAUGAGGGAGGAGAGGUUGAGAGAGAUCUUUGGGCUUGGGUCCAAGGGGUAAGCAGCAAAAAGAAUGAGAGAGAGAGCCAGCGAUGGUGAUGGUGAAGGUGGCGAGUUUGCCGGUGGUUCGGGCGGUCGUGGAUGGAGAUGGUGGUUUUGGCUAUGGUGGCGCGGCGAGAGAGAAAAAAAAAAUGGAGAAUGGGAGAGGGCCUGUGCAGGUGGUUAGGGAGAUAGGGAGACCAGAGUGAGGAUGAGGAUGAACAGUGAGAAUGGAGGGAGAGAGAGAAAGAGAGAUGAUAUGCGAGGGGGGAAGCUGGAGAGUGCCAGAGAGGAAAUGUGACGAUGAACAAUAGGAAAAUAUUCCCCCCCCCCCUCUAGUGCGUGCGUGUGUAGGCCUUUUAUAGGGCUUCUUGGGCGCUAGUUUGUUUUGCAUGUUACCCCCGGUUUCCCUUGGGUGCAACCAUUACAUGUACAUUCUUUUUCUCUUAUUUUUGAAUUCUUUUUGAUUUUUGCCUUGUUUCUUCUUUUUGUGUUUCUUUUUUUCUUUUUUGUUGUGAAUACGAAUAGUACUAACACUAAUAAUAAUAAUAAUAAUAACGAUGCCUUUGUUAUAUUUGGCCCGGACAAAAUGGGGUGUCCACAAUGAGUACUAAAUAUAUUAAUAUAAAUUAAUAUUUAUAAUUUGGUUUUUCGUUCGUGUAAAACUGAAAUCAAAAAUUGGUUUUAAUAAAAUUAGAAAGCAAAAUCAGAAAUUAAAACCGAAAAAUUAAAUCAGUCUGAACGUCAGUUUUCGUUAAUUUUUGUACACCCGAACCUAAGAUCCUUUGUGGCCUAGGGUUUGUAUGGCAAGAAAAGUGUAUUUGGGUUUAUUAGUAAAGGAAGAUAGAGCAGGCUAGGAUUUGAAGUUUAGAAAUAAUCUCACCUGGAGAUUUUCGGUUGCUACUAGUUUAGGUUGUGGUUGUAAUUUUUAGUUCUUAAAAAGAGUGACAAUAUAUAUAUAUAUUUU